rnacentral:tRNA from 1 species
GUUUUAAUAGUUUAACGAAAACUUUGGUCUUGUAAACCAAAAAUGAAAUUUUUUUCUUAAAACU